rnacentral:tRNA from 1 species
UAGGAAAUAGUGUAGUGGAAGCACCAAGAGUUUUGAUCUCUUUGGGUUGGGUUCGAGUCCCUUUUUCCUAA